AGAACGAACGCUGGCGGCAGGCUUAACACAUGCAAGUCGAGCGGGUAGCAAUACCAGCGGCAGACGGGUGAGUAACACGUGGGAACCUUCCUAGAGGUACGGAACAACGCAGGGAAACUUGCGCUAAUACCGUAUGUGCUCUUGCGAGGAAAGAUUUAUCGCCUUUAGACGGGCCCGCGUCGGAUUAGCUAGUUGGUGGGGUAAUGGCCUACCAAGGCAACGAUCCGUAGCUGAUCUGAGAGGAUGAUCAGCCACACUGGAACUGAGACACGGUCCAGACUCCUACGGGAGGCAGCAGUGGGGAAUCUUGGACAAUGGGCGCAAGCCUGAUCCAGCCAUGCCGCGUGGAUGAUGAAGGCCUUAGGGUUGUAAAGUCCUUUUAACGGGGAAGAUAAUGACGGUACCCGUAGAAUAAGCCCGGCUAACUUCGUGCCAGCAGCCGC
rnacentral:rRNA from 1 species